rnacentral:rRNA from 1 species
UACGUAGGCAGCAAGCGUUGUUCGGAAUUACUGGGCGUAAAGAGUGUGUAGGCGGUGCUCUAAGUUUGGUGUGAAAUCUCCCGGCUCAACUGGGAGGGUGCGCCGAAAACUGGAAUGCUUGAACGUGGGAGAGGAAAGCGGAAUUCCUGGUGUAGCGGUGAAAUGCGCAGAUAUCAGGAGGAACACCGGUGGCGAAGGCGGUGGUCUGGGCCGGUACUGACGCUGAGGAGCGAAAGCGUGGGGAGCGAACAGG